GGCCUAAUGGCCCAAUGGCAAGGCGCUUGACUACGAUUUGUUCGGCAAUCAAGAGAUUCCAGGUUCGACCCCUGGUUAGGUCA
rnacentral:tRNA from 1 species